rnacentral:lncRNA from 1 species
CUGAUUCUUUCUCUGCUUCCUUAGCAUUAGAGGCAUCAGUCCUUGUAUAAUGUUCAUCUCUAGGCACUUCAUUGUUCAUUUCACCAUCCUGAGCUCGAUCUUCGGACGAAGCCACUUCCCGAAUCUUAUCAUGCUCUUCUCUCUCAUUUUCUGUUGCAUUCCUCUCCUCCUUAUCUCUCGUCUCUUCGUUUUCUUGCUGAGUUUUUUCCUCGCUGAUCUGGCUACUUUCUUUGUCCUCCAUCUCAUUCAUGUUCUGUUCAUUCUCCUUGUUGCCCAUAUUGUCACUCUCUUGACUAGAGUAUUGGUUAUGCUCCUCACUUUCAUUGCCUGUAGUAGAAUUUUCGGAACUUUCUUCAGUCUCUUGUUCUACGCCAUUAUUAUCAUCCAACUUAUUUUGCUCUUCAUGCCUGCUUUCUUCUUCACUCUCUUCCUCCCUGUGCCUUGUAUCUAUAACAGAAGAUUCAUCCACACGAGAACGAAGGUCCUUCCUAUUUAACUUAACAUCUUCAUCCAUAGUUUUUGUAUCCUCGCCAGAGUGCCCUACUUGAUAAACCAGCCCGAUACAAACGCC